rnacentral:rRNA from 1 species
AGACGGGGGGGGCGAGCGUUGUUCGGAAUUACUGGGCGUAAAGGGCGCGCAGGCGGCCUGGGAAGUCUUGGGUGAAAGCCCCCAGCUCAACUGGGGAAUGGCCUGAGAAACCACUAGGCUGGAGUGCUGGAGAGGGAAGCGGAAUUCCCGGUGGAGCGGUGAAAUGCGUAGAUAUCGGGAGGAACACCAGAGGCGAAGGCGGCUUCCUGGACAGACACUGACGCUGAGGCGCGAAAGCUAGGGGAGCAAACGGGAUUAGAAACCCCAGUAGUCC